rnacentral:misc_RNA from 1 species
GUUCUUGGGUUUUCUGGGAACGAAACCAAAUGGGACUUGGAAGAUUCUCGUCGAGUUUGCUCAUUCUUGUCAGUGUCAAUGCAUCCAUUUCUUUUCUUUUUGGGUUUUGUGCUUGAAUUUGAAAACGAUCCCAUAAUUGCAUUAUGAAUCUGUGAUCAUCAAUCAAAUAUUACUGCGUCUGCGUGCAGUAGUAUUGGAUAAUUAAUUAGAUAAUUAAAACAAGCUGAUUUUCUUAGUUUUGG